rnacentral:lncRNA from 1 species
UUCGUGUGUUCUGUUUAUCUAUUCUGGACUAUCUAUCUGAUUCUAAGUCAAGGGGUGGUUGGUUGUAUGGCUUAGGAUACGGUAGAUAGGUUCAUAUCUUUUAUGAUUAUGUUGACUGAGGUUUAUCUAAGUUCUAGGAACCAAGCCAAGCAUUAUAGAAUCAAACUGUUCUAUUCGCGGUUAUGAUUAAUGCGUAUCUGGUUGUGGUUGCCAGAACUAAGAGCACCUGCAAUGGUGUUACCCAAAGAGGAGUCCUUAGAAAAAGUGUAUUAUUUUUACUAUGUAUUUUUUUUUCUUUUUUAGAUAAAACAUAAAAAAUAUUAACCAAUCGCGGGUCGCCACAUGACGUGGGGACCCGCAAAUAGUGCAAGGAUUCACUAAGAAAGAGUCCUUAUUUAAAGAUUUUAAGGAUUGAAUCCUUAGCUUUUGGUGGGGUCCACUGAUUAUUUAAUUAUUUUUUCCCUAAGGACUCCCCCUUAAGAAUUCCCA